AGAGUUUGAUCAUGGCUCAGAAUCAACGCUGGCGGCGUGCCUAACACAUGCAAGUCGCACGAGAAAGGGUAGCAAUACCUGAGUACAGUGGCGCACGGGUGAGUAACACGUGAAUAAUCUACCUCCGAGUGGGGAAUAACUUAGGGAAACCUGAGCUAAUACCGCAUAACACUUACGAGUCAAAGCAGCAAUGCGCUUGGAGAGGAGUUCGCGGCAGAUUAGUUAGUUGGCGGGGUAAUGGCCCACCAAGACGAUGAUCUGUAUCCGGCCUGAGAGGGCGCACGGACACACUGGAACUGAAACACGGUCCAGACUCCUACGGGAGGCAGCAGUGGGGAAUUUUGCGCAAUGGGGGAAACCCUGACGCAGCAACGCCGCGUGGAGGAUGAAAUCCCUUGGGAUGUAAACUCCUUUCGAUCGGGACGAUUAUGACGGUACCGGAAGAAGAAGCCCCGGCUAACUUCGUGCCAGCAGCCGCGGUAAUACGAGGGGGGCGAGCGUUGUUCGGAAUUAUUGGGCGUAAAGGGUGCGUAGGCGGUUUGAUAAGUCUGAUGUGAAAUCUAUGGGCUCAACCCAUAGUCUGCAUUAGAAACUGUCGGGCUUGAGUAUGGGAGAGGUGAGUGGAAUUUCCGGUGUAGCGGUGAAAUGCGUAGAUAUCGGAAGGAACACUUGUGGCGAAAGCGGCUCACUGGACCAUUACUGACGCUGAUGCACGAAAGCUAGGGGAGCAAACAGGAUUAGAUACCCUAGUAGUCC
rnacentral:rRNA from 1 species